rnacentral:rRNA from 1 species
UACAGAGGUCUCAAGCGUUGUUCGGAUUCAUUGGGCGUAAAGGGCGCGUAGGCGGCUCAGUAAGGUUGCGGUGAAAGCCCGGGGCUCAACCCCGGGUCGGCCGUGGCAACUGCUGGGCUGGAGCACUGUAGAGGCAGGUGGAAUUCCGGGUGUAGCGGUGGAAUGCGUAGAGAUCCGGAAGAACACCGGUGGCGAAGGCGGCCUGCUGGGCAGUAGCUGACGCUGAGGCGCGACAGCGUGGGGAGCAAACAGG